rnacentral:misc_RNA from 1 species
GUGAAUCAUCAAAUUUUUGAACGCAAAUUGCACUCUCGUCGGAGAGUAUGCCUGUUUGAGGUUCAGCCUAAAAAAAAUCGACAUAGUUGCUGUUUCGCGGUGGCGGUCGUCGGAAAUUGAAUUAUCUUAAAUCUUUGGCUUAAGCGACUUAAAAUUUUCUUUACGAUUCCAUGAACGAUUCAAAGAUUUAUGUAUUUACACGUUCAAG